UACGCUUCGGCCAUUUCUACUAUUAAUCUGACUGGGUGGGUUCUCUCGCUCGUUUCCGACCGCGCGGCUGCUGCUGACCGCCAGAUGCACCUACCAAAGAGUUAUAUACCAUCGCGUCGAGGUACUAGCGGCACUGACUGGGAGAGAAAAAACGAACCUAACUUUUGAAACUAAUUAUGGGUCCAACUUAUGCUUCAACUGCUCCAGCAUUUCAUAGCCAUUUUCAUUGGCCUGUUCCAGGAAGACCUUGCCUUCGUUACUCGUCUGUCGAAAACAAAAAAGCUCUAAGUCAAGCUGCUGUCAGAUGCGAACUACGAUGCAUGUUCCAACAAAUCUAGUCCUGCAAUGGCCUAGAUAAUAUAAGUCCCAACGUCCACAAUCGGUGUACGACAGUAGCGCAGCUCUCGGAACGGAGAAACGUCGUACUUCGCUCUUCACGAUUGGCAAUAUCUUGUACGAUAUCUUCUUUGUGCACAUCGAUACAGAUAUAUAGAUAUAUUAUACACUCCGCCUAGCUUCCCCCACUCUAUAGCGAAGAGUAGAGAGAAGCACAGCUCAGUGCAGUGCUGCACGCAUUGUUGACGAGUCGUAACCUUUAAAUCUGUAUGUAACGAUGUAACUGACACGCGCGCGUCGGUGGUGCUAUUGUCUGUACUUGAUUGGAUGUCAAUUGCCUAUUAUACUGUGUGGUAGAAUAGGUAACUCGUCGCUAAUCAAACGAAUCGAGCGCUGUUUUCACUGACUAUAAAGCUUUGUAGUUUGAAAUUUGUGUUACAGCAUGAGGCUAACUUCACAAGUCGACUCUUCAAUGAGUAAGUAACACACUCAUACAUCGAAUAAAUCUCUUUUCCGCAUCUGCUA